ACGACUGGACAGAAGACAUAGAAGAUGACCCAGCAGAAGAAGAGGAACCUACCACUUCAGCCUCCAAGUCAAAGGGAAAAGACAAACUUGACGAUUUUAACCUGGGUGUUUCCUAUUCUGAUGAUACGUAUGCCGUGAUGGAAUACUCGGGCGAUACCAUUCAGCUGUACGAGUCCAUGGCCUCAGCUGGCACUCUCAAGACAUACAAUGACAUUACAACAGUUUCAGCAACUGACAAGGAAGGAGUAACUAGGUACAAGCCACUGGGAGCUGAGACCGAAGAGGACGCUGUUUACACCAGAAGCACCAGACAAAGUGUAAAACGAGAUGGCGAGGGCGCUGUGUCGGAUAAGUGAUCUGGAAACAGUUAGGGACAAUGGAAAUUACAAAAACUAAAAGGAAUAUGGUUUAUUGGACCAUUUCCCAUGUAUAGUUCAGUCUGAUUGCAAGAUAGAGAUCUAACUGAAACACUUGCCAGUUUACUUAGCACAAUA